rnacentral:lncRNA from 1 species
AUGGCACUGUCCCUGGGAAUUGUCACCAACCUGGGGACGUGGCACUGUCCCCUGGGAACUGUCACCGUCACGGGGACAUGGCACUGUCCCUGGGAAUUGUCACCAUCAUGGGGAUGUGGCACUGUCCCAGGGAAUUGUCACCAACAUGGGGAUGUGGCACUGUCCCCAGGGUUCUGUCACCGUCAUGGGGACAUGUCAGUGUCCCCGGGGAUCUGUCACCGUCAUGGGGAUGUGUCAGUGUCCCCGGGGAUCUGUCACCAUCAUGAGGAGGUGACACCACCCCUGGGAGAGCUGUCACCCUUUCAAGGGACGUGCCACUACCCUGGGGACUUGUCACCCACCCCAGAGGAUGUGUCACCAUCCUGGGGGAUUUGUCACCCUUCUGGGGGAGGUGUCACCCUUCUGGGGGACCUGUCACCAUCCCAGGAGAUUUGUCACCCUCCUGGGGGAUGUGUCACCCUUCUGGGGGAGGUGUCCCCACUCUGGGGGACCUGUCACCAUCCCAGGAGAUUUGUCACCCUUCUGGGGGAGGUGCCACCACCCUGGGGGACCUCUCGCACUCUUGGGGACCCUGCCACCACCCUGGAAUGUCCCAAACCCCCCUCCCGGUCCCCUCUGUCCCCACAGGAACCUCCUCGGGUGUCCCAGCCCGGUUCUGGUCCCCCGUCAUCUUCGUGGUGCUGGCCCUGCUCGUGCUCUUUGUCACCUACCACAGGACCAAGGACAAAGGGAUCCGGGACCAGGCCACGAGCGGCAGCGACUCCUCAGAUUUGGGAGCUCUGGUCCAGCCUCAGGUCCAUGACCCCAUCCCAAAAAUCCCGGAGCAAACCGAGACCGCCUUGGACCAGCCGGAACCGCCCCAACACCUGCCGGACUCGCCCCCGGGUGGCUCCUGAGGGUCCCAGGGUGGCCCCAGUGGCUCCCAGGCCCUACAACUCUUGGCCCCACAGCCCCAAAGCUGAAAUAAAUUUAAUUUUAAAAAAGUCAAAACAGAUUCAUUUUAUUAAAAAAACAAAAUUGUACGAUUUUAGUUCCUCUAUGAAAAAAAAACAAAAACAAAAAGCCCGAAAAACAACCAAACACCAACGGAAAAAAAAUUCCUACCACUGCCGGAACGCUCCGAUCCACUGCAAAAAUCCGGGAAAAUCCAAGCUUUUUUUAUAUAUUAAAAACCAUUGA